rnacentral:tRNA from 1 species
AGGGGUAGAGCUCAGUGGUAGAGCACGUGCUUAGCAUGCAGGAGGUCCUAGGUUGAAUCCCCAGUAUCUCCA